GCCGGAUUCAUCUUUACUGCUUGGAGAGCAGGAGUUCCAAUGUGCAGCAGUCGGGCACAAUCCGAAGCAUGUGGAAUAGUGAGAUUUCGGGACAGCCUUUGCUCCUCGUGGCUGAGCUCCGUGUGCGUGGAGAUGUACACGUUGGGUCACAAAUAACACGCGUUGAGGUGGUGUACCCAGAUGGAGGUUUGUUGUGUAUUACUCCAAAUAUACAAAAAUAAAAUAACCAUUGAUCACAGAGGGAUGGCAGGAUAUGCCUCUAAAGAGCUCUGCUGAAAUAUCCACAUAUGUUCUGUAUCUGUAAUGAUGAAGAGAUGAAAGCAGAGUUGGCUCUCUGGAAAAAUGUUCUGGCUGGGACAAAAGCGAAAGUGCUAACAUGCCCUGUGAGUCUCUUCUUGCAAGACUUACCAGAGGUAUCAG
rnacentral:lncRNA from 1 species